rnacentral:RNase_P_RNA from 1 species
CCAGCUGGCCGGACGGCCGCUCCCGCAGGAUCGAAAGGUCGCGGGGGAGGAAAGUCCGGGCUCCAUGGAAACACGGUGCCGGGUAACGCCCGGCGGGGGUGACCCCAGGGAAAGUGCCACAGAGAGCAGACCGCCCGGCGUGCGCGCCGGGUAAGGGUGAAAGGGUGGGGUAAGAGCCCACCGCGCUGCCAGCAAUGGGAGCGGCAUGGCAAACCCCACCGGGAGCAAGACCGAAUAGGGGCGGCACGGACUUCGGUCCAGGCAUGUUUCCACGCCCGCCGCCCGGGUUGGUCGCGUGAGACGUCCAGCAAUGGUCGUCCAAGAUGAAUGGUCGUCACGCGGCGGGAGACCGCCGCCCUACAGAACCCGGCUUAUAGGCCGGCUGGCAAU